AAGACUCACCAACAGUUUCUGUACCAUCGUCACCACAGUUUGUAUCCACAGCAUCAAUCAAAAGUUGCCCUUUAUUUCUCUGUUGCUAAUGUCUAUGGAGAGGCUCUCAUGGACUUCAAAGGAAUUACAAGUUGUGCCUUCUGAAAGUGCAUCUUCGGUAAUCACCUUUUCCUUCAGCCUGAAGACACAGUGAAUGCUUUCUGGUUUCUUUCCUUCUUCAUGUCCCAAAUCCGGUGUGAGGAAACAGAAAGUUUACCCCAAGUGUUUGAAUGAGCCUGAACAAUGAUGAAAUGCCUCCCAGGGGAAUUGGCAGCUUUCUGAAGAUUGAAG